rnacentral:rRNA from 1 species
CCUACGGGAGGCAGCAGUGAGGAAUAUUGGUCAAUGGGCGGGAGCCUGAACCAGCCAAGCCGCGUGAGGGAAGAAGGUACAGCGUAUCGUAAACCUCUUUUGUCAGGGAACAAAGGCGGGGACUAGUCCCCGGAUGAGGGUCCCUGAAGAAACAGCAUCGGCUAACUCCGUGCCCGCAGCCGCGGUAAUACGGAGGAGGCGAGCGUUAUCCGGAGUUAUUGGGUUUAACGGGUGCACAGGCGGCCUGUUAAGUCAGCGGUAAAAGCCCGGGGCUCAACCCCGGCGAGCCGUUGAAACUGGGGGGCUGGAGUGGGAGAGAAGUACGCGGAAUGCGCGGUGUAGCGGUGAAAUGCGUAGAUAUCGCGCAGAACCCCGAUGGCGAAGGCAGCGUACCGGCUCCACACUGACGCUGAGGCACGAAAGCGUGGGUAGCGAACAGGAUUAGAUACCCUUGUAGUC